rnacentral:rRNA from 1 species
UACGGAGGGGGCGAGCGUUAUUCGGAAUUACUGGGCGUAAAGCGCGCGCAGGCGGCCCGCGAGGUGUCACGUGAAAGCCCCGGGCUCAACCCGGGAGGGUCGUGGCAACCGGCGGCUUGAGGCCGGUAGAGGUGGGGUGGAACUCCUGGUGGAGUGGUGAAAUGCGAUAGAGAUCAGGAAGAACACCCGUGGCGAAGGCGGCCCACUGGGCCGGUACUGACGCGAGG